GAUGAACGCUAGCGGCAGGCCUAACACAUGCAAGUCGAGGGGCAUCGCGGUGCAGCAAUGCACUGGCGGCGACCGGCGUACGGGUGCGUAACGCGUAUGCAACCUGCCCCGCACCGGGGGAUAGCCCGCCGAAAGGCGGAUUAAUACCCCAUGGCCCCGGGGGCCCGCAUGGGCAUCCGGGUAAAGCUUUGGCGGUGCGGGAUGGGCAUGCGUGCCAUUAGCUGGCUGGUGGGGUAACGGCCCACCAGGGCAACGAUGGCUAGGGGGUCUGAGAGGAUGGUCCCCCACACUGGUACUGAGACACGGACCAGACUCCUACGGGAGGCAGCAGUGAGGAAUAUUGGUCAAUGGGCGGAAGCCUGAACCAGCCAUGCCGCGUGCGGGAUGAAGGCCCUACGGGUUGUAAACCGCUUUUCCCCGGGAAGAAUAAGCCCCCGCGGGGUGAGUGCCGGUACCGGGGAAUAAGGAUCGGCUAACUCCGUG
rnacentral:rRNA from 1 species